GUCCAGUCAUAGCAUUUGAAGCAGUAUACUUUGCCUACUACCUUGACAACGAAAGGAUGGUGUGGUGGGUAGUGGGGAACUGGUGGUGGUGGAGGAGAAGUGUAGUAGUAUGGUGGAGGUGGAGAUUUCUUUGGUGGUGGGGGAGACACAUAAUAGUAUGGAGGAGGUGGUGAUUUAACUGGUGGAGGUGGAGAGGUGUAGUAGUAUGGUGGUGGUGGAGACUUCUUUGGUGGUGGGGGAGACACAUAAUGGUAUGGAGGUGGUGAUUUAACUGGUGGAGGUGGAGAGGUGUAGUAGUAUGGUGGUGGUGGAGACUUCUUUGGUGGUGGGGGAGACUCAUAAUGGUAUGGAGGAGGUGGUGAUUUAACUGGUGGAGGUGGAGAGGUGUAGUAGUAUGGUGGUGGUGGAGACUUCUUUGGUGGUGGGGGAGACACAUAAUAGUAUGGAGGAGGUGGUGAUUUAACUGGUGGAGGUGGAGAGGUGUAGUAGUAUGGUGGUGGAGGGGACUUCACUGGUGGUGGUGGAGAAGUGUAGUAGUAAGGAGGAGGUGGAGACUUAGUGGGUGGUGGUGGAGAUUUGUAAUAGUAUGGUGGAAGUGGUGAUGGUGAGGGGGGUGGUGGAGAUUUGUAGUAGUAUGGUGGUGGAGGAGAGGGUGAAGGUGGUGGUGGCGAUUUGUAGUAGUAUGGUGGUGGUGGUGAGGGAGAAGGUGGUGGUGGAGAUUUGUAAUAAUAUGGUGGAUGUGGUGAGGGGGAGGGUGGAGGGGGAGAUUUAUAGUAAUAUGGUGGAGGUGGUGGCGGUGACUUAUAGACAUAAGGAGGUGGUGGUGGUGACUUGUACACGUAAGGUGAUGGUGAUGGUGAGGGUGGUGGAGGAGAUUUAUACACAUAAGGUGGUGGUGGAGAUGGAGAAGGAGGUGGUGGUGACUUGUACUCAUAUGGCGGUGGUGGAGAUGGAGAAGGAGGCGGUGGCGACUUGUACUCAUAGGGCGGCGGUGGCGGCGACUUGUACUCGUAAGGAGGUGGUGGAGAUGAAUAAACAUAUGGG
rnacentral:lncRNA from 1 species